rnacentral:rRNA from 1 species
GACGAACGCUGGCGGCGUGCUUAACACAUGCAAGUCGAACGGAGUGGCGAACGGGUGAGUAACACGUGGGUGAGCUGCCCUGCACUUCGGGCUAAUCCUGGGAAACUGGGUCUAAUACCGGGUAGUGUGGGAUGGGCCCGCGGCCAAUCAGCUGGUUGGUGGGGUAAUGGCUUACCGAGGCGGCGACGGGUAGCCGGCCUGGGAGGGUGGACGGCCACAUUGGGACUGAGACACGGCCCAGAGUGCUACGGGGGGCAGCAGUGGGGAGUAUUGCACAGUGGUCGGAAGCCUGGUGCAGCGACGCCGGGUGGGGGAUGACGGCCUUCGGGUUGUAAACUCCUUUCACCAUCGACGCGGUAGAUGAAGAAGAAGCACCGGCUAACUACGUGCCAACAGCCGCGGUAAUAC